GACAUCAAGAUGCUUGUGAUUAUG
rnacentral:miRNA from 14 species